CUUGACAGCUAUAUCACCCUGUAGCCCAAGACUGGUUGCCCACUGAAGCUAAGCAGGGUUGAGGCUGGUGAGAAAACUAGGUUGCUGCCUGCA
rnacentral:rRNA from 1 species